GGAGAGGUGGCAGAGCGGUUGAAUGCACCGGUCUUGAAAACCGGCAGACCUUCACGGGUCUCGUGAGUUCGAAUCUCACCCUCUCCG
rnacentral:tRNA from 2 species